rnacentral:rRNA from 1 species
CCUACGGGAGGCAGCAGUUGGGAAUAUUGCACAAUGGGGGGAACCCUGAUGCAGCAACGCCGCGUGAAGGAAGACGGUUUUCGGAUUGUAAACUUCUAUCAAUAGGGACGAAAGAAAUGACGGUACAUAAAUCAGACGCCCGGGCUAACUACGUGCCAGCAGCCGAGGUAAUACGUAGGGGGAAAGCGUUAUCCGGAAUUACUGGGUGUAAAGGGAGAGUAGGCGGCAAGGUAAGCGAUAUGUGAAAGCCUUAGUCUUAACCUGCGGAUUGCAUAACGAAAUAUCUAGCUAGAGUACAGGAGAGGAAAGCGGAAUUCCUAGUGUAGCGGUGAAAUGCGUAGAGAGUAGGAAGAACAUCAGUAGCGAAGGCGGCUUUCUGGACUUAAACUGACGCUGAGGCUCGAAAGCGUGGGGAGCGAACAGGAUUAGAUACCCUUGUAGUC